UAAAAUUGGUCCCUCACUUCUAUUUUCCUUACAUCUAUCACCUAACCCUAGAGACCCCUCUAUCAUCUCCGCUGCAAGAAAUCGCCUCAUGGCGGCAGAACUUUUCCAAACUACCUCAAAAUGUAACCCUACCACUACUAUGCCCUCCCCGUUCCAAAUCCCUAAAUACUUUCACCGAAAUACCACUCUAAUCCCACCAUUUUUUGAUAUGGUAGCAAGCAAACUCUAAAUCUGAGCUUCCUAGAUGAUUUAACCGGAAAUGGGCGUUACUCAUUUGUUCUCAACGGGAACAGUUGCUUAACACCUAUUUCUUAUUUAAAUUGGAGAUGGCCUCGUCCCACCGUAACCAAAUGUCUUUCGUGCAGUACGUAUCUAUUGUUCUUUCCUCUUUCUAUUUCCUCAUCUUUUUUUCUUCUGUUUUUCAUCACUCUGCCUUCUUCUACUUUUUGUGUUUCUUUGGCCGAAAAAUGAAGAGGUUUAGUUAGUCAUAAAUCUUAGAUUGUUAGGAUUUCGUCUUUCUUCUUUUUAUAUUUGGCAUGCUUAAUCAGUACUCUUAGAGUUCACUAACCUAUUUGUGUUACAUCAUAAUCCUCAUAUUUCUUUAGGGUCUGUUAAUUUCGUUUAACUCAUGUCCAAUUAGUUUAAUUUUGAAAAUCAGUAUGUUUAUUAUUGUAGUCUAGCUUUCCUUUUGUUGUUAUGAUUCCUGGGUCUAGUAUGUUGGUAUGUUCAAUUAGUUUAAUUCUCAGAGAAUGGUUCAUCAUUGUUAGUUCUAGACUCAUGUUGGUAUUUGGUUUGAAUUGUGCAGUUUUUUUUUCAUUUCUAAUUCACUUCAUGUCAAAUUAAUUUAGGGUUAGUUUAAAAUUUUAGCUGCAUAAGGAUUUUCUCCUUUGAUCCUUAUUUUGUUCUUAUUCUGGUCUUUGUGUUGUUGGUCCUGAUUUCGAAUAACUAGGCUUAUAGGAGGUUGAUUGAAUAAAUAAAAGCCUUAAGGGGUCAUGGGAAUGGUUACGUGAACGAUUAGAAACUUAGGGGUUUAAUUUGGGAAAUAAUAACAAGGGUUUCCAAAUAUUUCCUAUUUCGAAGACUCUAGAAAGAGGGCAGCUGGCCCUAUUUGGUUAGCACAAAUGUGCUGAGCCAAUAAGGGACAACCAGCUGUCCUAGUUAGUUAAGAAAGAUAUCUUUUGUAGGCUAGAAAUAAUUCUCAAUUUUAUUUUGAGCACAUGGUCAUAGACGCCUAUAAAUAGUGUCUUUCCUUCACUCUAAAAAACAGGACUUCUACCAUCAUUCUCUGCACAAAAAAUUUUAAACAACUCAUCAAAAUUCAGACCUAAAAAAACUUUUAAAAAAAAAAAUCUAUAUUUCUUUUCAUUGGAGAUUUGGCAUUCUGAUAAAUACCUUAGCAGAUGCACAAAUGGUUUUCUGUGUUGCUGGAUAGCUUUUCUAGUUCCUUUUGCAACUUUAAGUACAUUCUUUCCUUUUCAUGGUAAUUUUGGUUCUGCUAGGCUUAAAGAGGGUAAAAAAAGGGUUUGAAUCUUGCUGUUGAUUUGCUGCUUGGCUGUUGUUUUGCUACUACUAAAAUCCUUUCUCUCUUUUGCAUUACUUUGAUAUAUAGGUAUCCUUUGGAUCUUGAAUGAUAGGUGAAGUGCAAGUUUGAAACAUGUAGACAAGUAUGAAGAUAGAAAGAUAAAUAUUAGUUUGCCAAAUGCUAUUUCAUGUGUUCUCUUAAAGUUGAUCCACUUGUUGUAUUAAGUCUGGUUUUAUUUUAUGUGUUCUCUUCGUUCAUUCACGCUAUUGAUGUUGUAUUUCAUUGUUAAGGUUGGAUUAGGAUUUUAUCUUAUUAUGUUUAGUUUGUGAUUUUGCUAGAAAGUCCUUGGUUAAGCCUAUUGUUUAAACUUCCUGUAAUAUGGAUUUUGGUUAGAUUAUGAACAUCUUUUGAUUGAUUUUGAUUGAAAUUGUUUAGGUUAGUAUUGACAAUUCAGACCAUGUUUAAAUUUGUAUCACGAUUUUGUUGUAUUAGCUACUGACUUUGAACAUUGGGAUUUGCUUAGGAUCCAUCAUUACCAUUGUAUAUAUUCAAUAUGAGUGUUUAGAGUUUCAAUACAUUUCAGAUAAUUACGUGUGAAUUCAGUAGUAAAUUGGUAAUCAUUUUAAAUCUUCAGAUAUAUGUAUGGUGCAACAAUAGUAGAACAAUUGGUUUAAAGGAUGUAUAACGUGGCUAUCUAAGUAUUGUGAUGUUUGGGCUAGCAUAUCCCCUUUUCUGUAUGCUACUGUGCUUUAUUAAAUCCUGAAAUAUGAAUUAUAUGGGCUUCAUAAGGAAACAACCAUGCCUUGAAUGCUAUUGGGCCUGAACUGGCGCCCCUUUUUGUAAUAGAGAAACAUCUGCUCGGUCACUUUUCUGGGGAUCAUUCUCUUGAGAAAAAUGUCUCC
rnacentral:lncRNA from 1 species